rnacentral:rRNA from 1 species
UAGAGUUUGAUCAUGGCUCAGGAUGAACGCUAGCGACAGGCUUAACACAUGCAAGUCGAGGGGCAGCGGGGGUGAUGGCUUGCCAUCACCUGCCGGCGACCGGCGCACGGGUGAGUAACACGUAUGCAACCUGCCCGCCACAGGGGGAUAAGCGGAAGAAAUUCCGUCUAAUACCGCGUGACGCGGCGUCGGGGCAUCCCGGUGCCGCCAAAGGGAUUACCGGUGGCGGAUGGGCAUGCGGCGCAUUAGCUAGUCGGCGGGGUAACGGCCCACCGAGGCGACGAUGCGUAGGGGUUCUGAGAGGAAGGUCCCCCACACUGGUACUGAGACACGGACCAGACUCCUACGGGAGGCAGCAGUGAGGAAUAUUGGUCAAUGGGCGCGAGCCUGAACCAGCCAAGUCGCGUGAGGGAUGACGGUCCUACGGAUUGUAAACCUCUUUUGCCGGGGAGCAAGCGUGCGUUCGUGAACGCGCGUCGAGAGUACCCGGAGAAAAAGCAUCGGCUAACUCCGUGCCAGCAGCCGCGGUAAUACGGAGGAUGCGAGCGUUAUCCGGAUUUAUUGGGUUUAAAGGGUGCGUAGGCGGGAUGCCAAGUCAGCGGUAAAAAAGCGGUGCUCAACGCCGUCGAGCCGUUGAAACUGGCGUUCUUGAGUGGGCGAGAAGUAUGCGGAAUGCGUGGUGUAGCGGUGAAAUGCAUAGAUAUCACGCAGAACUCCGAUUGCGAAGGCAGCAUACCGGCGCCCUACUGACGCUGAGGCACGAAAGCGUGGGUAUCGAACAGGAUUAGAUACCCUGGUAGUCCACGCAGUAAACGAUGAAUGCUAACUGUCCGGUGCGAGUGAGCGCUGGGCGGUACAGCGAAAGCGUUAAGCAUUCCACCUG